rnacentral:rRNA from 1 species
UACUGACUGGUUAUCUUUUUUAAUGAUAUUUUUUGAUUAAUAAUAAUGAUUUUAAUUUAUUGUUUAAUAUGUAUUUUUAUUGGAUAUCUUUUAUUAUAUUUGAUUAAUUUUAUAUUUAUAGACGUGGAUUAGAGACCCGCUUAUAGUAAAUUUAAUUUGAGAAUUUUCAGUUUUAACUGAAAGAAAUUGGCAGCUGAUUUUAUUUUCUGGGGGAUUGUGUUAUUUAAAUAGAUGGUCCACUUAUUGAUUUUUCUAAUUUAUUGUUGGUGUAUAUCCGGUUUUUAUAAGAAAUGUAUAUUUUUUAUUUAAAUUGUUUUUUAAUCCAGGUCAAUAUGCUGCUNAUAGUUGGGUAUUUAUGCAAUACAUUAUAAUUAUUUUUGUUUUUAAUUAGCUUAGGUUUUAGGACUCAGUAGUAAUAUGAAAUGGUUUUGUUUGUGUGAAUUGAAUUUAGUUGGGGUACACAUCGUCC